rnacentral:lncRNA from 1 species
GUCUGAAACUCUGAAUCAAGGUGAAGACUGACACGUAGGAGCCUCAGUUAGGGCCAGAAGCUUAUGUAGCAGAAGCACAUUCUUAAAAUCUUUGAGAAAUCUCCUUUCCUCUUCACCCAGAAAACUCAGAACUCACACCCAACUCACAGCACAAACUCGGAAGGCAGAGGAGUACAUUUGGGGGGAAAUCUCAACAGCACUUUCUGCAAAUCUUUCCUCAGCUUUAACCACUUUGUAUAGCUCCCAUGUAUUCCUCCUCCUAAAUGGGAGCUGCGACUGCUGCUCCCCUGAGGUGGAGCCAGAGCCCAGCCUCAAGCCCCUAACUCAGCUCUACCUCCUACAGAACACAUAUGAAAAGAGAAACUGAUUACACUCUUCAUAAAAAAUGGAAAUAAAACCCAAACAGCGUAGGACAGAGAGGAGAGAGCUCUGAGUGUGGACUGAUAAUAUUCCACCUUUGAAUCAAAGGCCAAUUAGAAAUCAGAGAAGAUGUAGUGUAAAGAAAGUAAUAAAUCCUUAUUGGUCACAGACUUUGCUGUACAACAAAAAAAUCACUUCUAGUUAGUCAUUAGAAAGGAGUGGAAGAUUUCACGCUUCAGAGAGUACAUUAGAAGACAGAUUUUGUAUUUACAACCAAAGUUGAUUUUCUAGAUUAAAUACUUUACAAAGUUCAGAGAUUUGGAAGAAUUGUCGUAACUGCAGCAUUUGGGUGUGUUUAUUAAAAAAAGAAACCCUAUGAAAUCUUUUAAAAUUCCGAAGUGACGGUAAUUAUCCACUCAACGCUUGGACCGAGUAUCUUUUUCAGCAGUAACACCAGCUGUGACAGCUGCUUCCCUGACAGCACAAAGGGAACGUUCUGCCGAUUCACUCGGCGUUCAGCAGGACGACUGGAGGUCUGUUAACAAAGGGAAAUCUGUUCUGUGUUUUCAAAACAAGGAGUGUUGUUUUCUCCCCCGUUUUUAUGCAGCUAUUGAAAAGUCAGAGAGCUGAGGUCGGUUUCAUAUCCAUACUUGAGAAGAAAACGAAUUGCGUCCCAGAAACGUGUAAGAAUAGCACAGCACAAGAUCAGACAUUUUGUCUCUUACAUGCCCAAAAUACUUCAGGCAACUUAAUUUAAUAGAGCAUUAUCACACUGCCAUGCACAUUCACUUAUAUUCCAAUUUCUGUCCAAAUUCAGUGUGGUAGUUCUUUGAUUUGUAAUUAGCCAUUCAGUAUACAAGUGUGACCCACGUUUUGCUAGAAUAUGGUGAACUGCUCAAACUGAGUCACUACACAAACUUGAAACUUCCAUUUCCUUUUCUAACAACAAGGAUAACUCCAUAUCUAUCUGCGUUUAGACUUAGCUUAUAAUCUUAUCGUCACCUCAAGCCAACAGACAAAAUUACAUUCUCUCUUAAAACAGGACAGAGAGGGAGAUGCUAACUUGGCCUGUGGUGGGAAGUGAGCAGUCGAAGAAAGAAGAUUCCUCCAGCCUCCCACCCACCUCUGGAGCAAACCUCGGAUGGAACACCACCAUAAGCACAGGGAAACCACAGGAUCUUCCUCUAGCUGACACUAAGAAGUUAGGACUCCUGGAGUGGCUCUUCGUUUUAUUUUCUGGGGAACUCGGAAGCAUUUUCAGAAGGAAUAAUCUGGACUUAUGAGAGCACAUCAUUCUCCUGACUUUAUUCUCUUGCCCAGCUUGGAGCAUAAUCUGGGCGCUGUCAGCUCUAACAGUGAAUUCAAGGGCAUUAGAAAUUACUGCACUGAAAAAUGUGGUCUGACACUCUUAUGAAAACACAUUAUUACUGUGCAUUAGUAAUUUCCUGCCUGCCUGUGAAUAGACAGAAUGAUAAAGCCUAUUAGAAUUCACCAGGGAAAAGAAGGUACCUCUUACCAAAAAAUCAAGAGCAAUCUGAAAUGUGUAUAUUUCUUUUUCUCUAACAACUUUGUCAUCAAAUCACGUAACAUGAACACAGACAUUAUCAGUUAAAAAACAAUCUGAGUGUUCCUGUAGGAGGCUUUCCAAGGACUGACUCGCUGAGCAACCUUCAGGUGCCACUAACUCCAACUUUUGUGCCUCACAUCAGUCCCAUUAAAACCAAAUGACAAUAUCCAUAACAGUAGUAUGAAGAGAAACUGAUAUAUCCUGAACACAUUCUAAGAAGUUUUUCAAGUUAAAAAGGCUCCAAAGACUGACAUCUGACCAGCACUCACCAACAGCCUCCUUCCUAGCAAGCCAGUGUAUCACAACCACACAUGGCAGCUUUUCUGGCAAUCAGAUCCCCCCAGAAAACAGGACAGAAAAAAAAGGAAGAAAAAAAAAACCAGAAAACUAACAAACUACUGCCCAAAAUCUUAGGGGAAUUCACCUCAGGUCACAAAGCUUUAAUGCCAGGUACUUUAGACCACUGAAAGUUCUGGACUCAGUAGUAAAAGACAAGACCUGUGACAGCUGCCAAGAGAACAGCUACCGGCACAGAAUGCCCAGCAACAGCUUAGACCCAUCCAGACCAAGGACUCUUGAACUUCAUCCUACCUGUCCCACACAAGAGCUCCAGGCCCAGCUGCAGAUGGGGUAAACUUCUGCUACGGCACAGCCUCCUUGGUGCCUGCUGCAGGCCAACCCAAG